rnacentral:rRNA from 1 species
UACGUAGGGUGCAAGCGUUAAUCGGAAUUACUGGGCGUAAAGCGUGCGCAGGCGGUUGUGCAAGACCGAUGUGAAAUCCCCGGGCUCAACCUGGGAAUGGCAUUGGUGACUGCACGGCUAGAGUGUGUCAGAGGGGGGUAGAAUUCCACGUGUAGCAGUGAAAUGCGUAGAUAUCGGGAGGAACACCAGUGGCGAAGGCGACUACCUGGCCUGUUCUUGACGCUGAGGCGCGAAAGCUAGGGGAGCAAACGGGG